rnacentral:rRNA from 1 species
AAGACCGCAGCUAAAUGCGCGUCAG